UAAUUCGGUUCAAAAUGUUCGUGAUGGAGACCUGAAAUUAUCACCAACAGCAUUAGCCAUUUUCAGACGCGGUAUUUUCGUUUUUUUUUUUUUCGCGGUAUCGCCCACCUCGGGAUUGCGUUAUUAUUUAUUACUUUUCACGUACAACAUCGCGAUAGUAUUGCCGUAAUAAUCGCGGACGCGGUUCGACUCCCCGUCGUUAUCGUUAAAAAUAUCCCGAAAUUAAAUAGUUACUACACCACCGCGGCGAUAGUUUCGCGCAAACCAGUAAUAUCGCCGGUGCGCGUAUACGGGCCGUAAUAAUACGUGCCCGCCGAUACGUUAUUUCUCGAACGAAUAGUACGCGUCGAUACGUACGCACGUGUAGUGUAAUAAUAUAUGUUGUG